rnacentral:tRNA from 3 species
CUAGACAGACGGGCCUCGAUCCCGUAAACAAUUAAUUAACAGCUAAUCACUCAAUCCAGUGAGCUUCUAUCUA